GUGAGUGGUGUUUGGAUGGCGUGGGUUGGCAGGCUCCGUGCUUGUGCAUCGAACUGUUGGCGCCCCAUCCUCUUCAUUGUUCCCCAAUGUGCCGUUAUGGCCUUGCGGGUGCGUUUGGUAUCCUGUGUUGCCUACCUACCGAAGGGAAUUCAUUUGUUCGUUUGUUCCCCUCCGCCCCAAGCCCUCACGGGUGUUGGGGUGGACGCUGGGCAAGCCUCGUGUUCCUGGCACACCUCGCCCAGUUGCGUGGUUGCCUCGGCCCAUGAGGUGCUCUGCCCGUGCUCUCGGAUGCGGAAUGUUAUGCGCGGGUGGGUGGUCUAUCGGCCUCCAUUUUCCCAAGCAAAGCAUCUUGUCCAACGACACGAACGACCGCUGCGCCCGUCUUUGAGCCUGCGGCCUCACGGCUCUGUGGGGCUCAUGCGGGUGAUACU
rnacentral:misc_RNA from 1 species